CUGUUUUCUUAAAAUAUUCUUGUAAAAAUAAGUUAUUAAUCAUUGCUAUCAUUGUAUAAUGUACAAAAUAUUUCUCUGCUGUCAUUAUUUAUGCCUCCAAACAUGUUAAUAAUGUUAGAUGAAGAUUACAGUUGUAUGUAUCUUUUGCAGUAACUGUUGCACUGUAGAAUAAUGGGUUAAGCAAUUAAGGACAUUAUAUAGAAGUGUUGCACACUUCUUGCACAGCAGGCUUUCAAAAAAAGUCAGCAAAAAAUGGGGGGCCUGUGCCCCAGUAGAGCUUUAUGUCUAGCAACGCCCCUGGUUUUGUCUAUCAAUAUUUUCCAUGAAGUCAUUAGCUGAUGGAGCAACGAGCGAGCGAUUGGUAACAUCCCUUAUGGACUUCACGUUUUCGACGGUGCUGUUUUUGGAUUAUCUAUUAUACUACCUCCCUAUUUUAAAUACAACAUUUGAAGGCGGGUUUAUGUGUUUAACGGAACGUAAAUAGCGGAGUGUAAUCUGAUAUACCCUUACAUGUUACGAUGUAAAUAGUCCUCAGAUUGUAUAUUAUAUUGUAUUACCAGAAGUUCAUGCGAAAUCUGAUGUAAACAAUAGACUAUAUAUCUAUAUUUCACGGAUUAUAUGCAUUUGUGGACAAAAAUCAUUGGAUGAUUCACACAUCUGAAACAGACUGGAUUCGACUUGUGAUCCCCACAAAGGUAAAAGUCCUGUUUAUUUUUGCAUGUUGUUCAUUCAGACUUCUAUAAUAGAACUACAUAUGAUGCUAGAACAUAUGUAUCUCAAAACGGCUUUACAGGGGGUAUGGCUUAGCUAAAUGAUAUGUAAAUGAGCCCUAUUGUCUCUCCAGCCAGGGAAAAGGAAAAGUGUUAACUUUUUUCUUUCUCAAAUUUCUCAGCAUUCUCUUUCUUGAAUGUGUUACAUUCAAAUGGCCACAACUUCUCCAAAUCUUAUCAGAUUUCCAUGUGUUACACAUCGUUAGAAAGCUUAGAAACUGCACUUUCAGAAUCUAUGAAUAACUCAAAAUGGCCCAGAUCCGACUUGUGUCCCUACUUUCCGUGACUGGUCACAUAUGUCCUCAUUGGUGUCAAAUGACCUCUGGCAAUGAUCUGACUUUUUUUGGUAAGCUUAGAAUUUCUUCUCUUUUCUUCGCCAAUAAUGGGCCUUUCACCAUAUUGAAAAACUAUAAUAGCAUAGAGGGACAAACUGCAUAAUGCAUUUCCACAAUGCGUUUUCGCUCCGAACACGUGAACCAGCUGAAACGGAAAAGGAGAUCAGUGAGUACAUAACCGCUACCAUACACUCUAAAAAAAAAAGGUUCCUUGAGGUUCUAUAUAGAACCAUGGGGUUCUAUACUUGGCCAAUAGAACCUUUUACCAAAAAAAGGGUUCCAUAUAGAGCCCUUGGAGGGCAAAGAACCAUUUUUAUUAAAAUGGUUCUAUAAUUCACGUUUGUGACUGAAGUGUAAACUAACGAUUACACAAUAAUUACAGACCUACACAACUCAUUUACAAACCUACACAACUCAUUCACAAACCUUUUUGUGUCAAUAGGCUGUGGUCAAAUAAAGAGAGAGUCAACAAAUAGGCUAUUCAUAUUUAUUGUAUGAUUUAUUUCCUGCGAGCUUUUUUAUGCAAGUUUGUACAUUAGCAUGAAACUUACAGUGCAGUUUGCCUUUUUGGUGAAUAACCAGGUGUUUUCUUUAUUUUGUACAUUCUAUAUUGUCAAUGUUUAAUUUAACCUGAAGGGGCAUUAAAAACAAAUAAACGCAAAAGUGCCCUCUGGUGGCGUAUAUAUGCGUUGCACCAUAAGAGAAGAUGAGCCUCGAGACGUGACAGUUUUUUUUUCAAACUGAGGAGUUCGGACUCCGGACCGGCAUUUCUGCUUGUUGGUACCCUGAGGUAAGUAAACUUUCUACAUUUUUGAAACGAUAUUACUGAAAUAUUUAGUAUAAUUAGUUAAUAUUUAUUUUGUUAGAGGUCUUGUGCUAAAUAGUGAUACUAGAAGCUACAUUUAUAAUAUUUACCUCAGUUAAAAAAAAUACUACUGGUAACAUUAAAGCACUGACGGGCUCUGUCAACCGUCAGUUAUAAAAGCUCUGUUAAAUACAUUUUGUUCCGGGUUUUAAUAAAUUACGUUACAGUCCUGCUUUAUUUCUUUGUCAUUUUAGAUUAAAUUGCCAAUCACAAUAAGACAGCUGUGUUGUAAGGAGACGAAAUUGGAGACAGUGUAAUUUCAAUAAAGCGCGUGGUCAAGGGAACCGGGUGGAAGGGAAAUGAUAUGUAAAUGUUUGUUGCAGUUUUACACAUAUUCCGUGAGUAUUUUUCGCUUGUUCACGAGUGUUUUAUCAGGGUUGGAGCUAAACUCUGAAGGAAAAAGUAAACUGGUGGCCACAGCUGAGAAAUUUCCGCCGGUCUGUAUUAUAAAUGCACGAUUGCAGUGCAGCGUUCGUAUCCGCAACAAGUCUAGAUAUGCAUGUUUUCUGUGAUGCACACAAUGAAAUAAUGUGAUGGUAGCUGUUAAGACACUUACAUUUAGCAUUCAAAUGUUUUAAAAACCAAACGUGUUCGGGUUUUUAUGCGUAUUUGGUUUGUGAAGUGUAAUUUAUGCUUUUUUCCUUCCCUUCACAGAUAACCAUGGUUAAUAAAUGGUCAGUAGAUGACACAUCACUGGCUUUAAAAUAUAAACCCCAUUGAUGCAAAAAGAUGCUGCAUGAAAUGACAAUGAGGUUUGGAACAGACUUGGUGAAGAACAUGGAAACAUCUCUAAAUAAAUUGGCCCCAAACAUCAUCAGGUGUGCAAAAGAAUGAAGUAAAAAACAUCUCUACGCCAAUCUCAUUGGAACAGCAGUGGAAACCACAGAAGGUCUGGAGAGGAAUGCUGCACUUAUGUUAUGUUAUUGCAAGCAUUAUUUCAAGAAAAUCCCAGCUUCCUUUACUUUGUAAAUAGUGAACCCAAAGGUCCCACACCAACCAUAGUGUUCAACGGCUGUCCUGAUCCUGUGAGCAUAAUAUGUGGAAGACAUUGACAUCACAUGCUGUGAAAUGACUGUUUGUGUUUUUUUUCUCCUCAAUGUUCAAUACCCUUUUGCCAUUAAGCACACAGUGACUUUAAUUUAUAAAAUAUAUGCUUAAAUUUAAAUACCUGUACAAAACAAAUGUACAAUCAACUUGUGUAAAUUGUCAUUUUAUUUAAUAGAUUGUUCAUGAAUUGUCUUUAAAUGCAUUGUGAUUUCUUUUCAUAAUUUCAGACACAUGUAAAAGUUACUAAAAAUUAGUACUGCAUAUACUGUACAGUAUCUUUGUUUAUAAAAACAGAAAAUGCGUAAGGGAAAUAACUUGAACAAAAUUUUUGAAUGUAUAGUGUAAUUAAGAGUUUAGCGGUUUAAUACAGAGAUGCAAUUUUAAUAUAUAUAUAUAU